GACGAACGCUGGCGGCGUGCUUAACACAUGCAAGUCGAACGGAAAGGCCCUGCUUUUGUGUGGUGCUCGAGUGGCGAACGGGUGAGUAACACGUGAGUAACCUGCCCUUGACUUUGGGAUAACUUCAGGAAACUGGUGCUAAUACCGGAUAGGAGCUCCUUCUGCAUUGUGUGGGUUGGAAAUUUUCGGCGGUUGGGGAUGGACUCGCGGCUUAUCAGCUUGUUGGUGGGGUAGUGGCUUACCAAGGCGUUGACGGGUAGCCGGCCUGAGAGGGUGACCGGCCACAUUGGGACUGAGAUACGGCCCAGACUCCUACGGGAGGCAGCAGUGGGGAAUAUUGCACAAUGGGCGGAAGCCUGAUGCAGCAACGCCGCGUGCGGGAUGACGGCCUUCGGGUUGUAAACCGCUUUCGCCUGUGACGAAGCGUGAGUGACGGUAAUGGGUAAAGAAGCACCGGCUAACUACGUG
rnacentral:rRNA from 1 species